AUACGAAGGGGGCUAGCGUUGUUCGGAAUGAUUGGGCGUAAAGGGCGCGUAGGCGGCCUGUUAAGUCUGGAGUGAAAGUCCUGCUUUCAAGGUGGGAACUGCUUUGGAAACUGGCGGGCUGGAGUGCAGGAGAGGUUAGCGGAAUUCCCGGUGUAGAGGUGAAAUUCGUAGAUAUUCGGAGGAACACCAGUGGCGAAGGCGGCUUACUGGUCCAUUACUGACGCUGAGGUGCGAAAGCGUGGGGAGC
rnacentral:rRNA from 1 species